rnacentral:tRNA from 1 species
GUCCUCGUAGCUCAGCUGGAUAGAGCACUCGCCUUCUAAGCGAGUGGUCAUGGGUUCGAGUCCCCUCGAGGACGCCA